GCUGAGUGCGGUGGCGCACGCCUGUAAUCCCAGCGGCUCAGGAGGCUGAGACAGGAGGAUUGUGAGUUCAAAGCCAGCCCCAGAAACUUAGAGAGUCCCUAAGCAACUAGCAAGACCCUGUCUCUA
rnacentral:sRNA from 1 species